UCAGUUUUGCAACCCUGUGAGCACAGUCCAUCAGCAAAUUUUUGGUUAGAAAGUCCUGGACUAGAGUUUUGAAGUAUCCCAUCAGGAAUUCCAUGAUAUAAGCUUGCUGUAUAUUUUCCGGUAUACCUCGCAGCCUAAUAUUGUGUCUGCGGGAUCUGUCUUCAGGAUCCAUCAGCUUUACUUGGUAGCUACCACAGGCGAGGGGCUGUUGCCGAAGAAAUGCACCUUUAUCCGGUAAUCUACUACAUCCUUGUUGACAUUGUUGUCUUUGUGCCAGAGUAACCUGAGGUAGCUGCUAUCGUCUUUUUUGACAAUAAAAC